rnacentral:misc_RNA from 1 species
AAAUGCGAUAAGUAGUGUGAAUUGCAGAAUUCAGUGAAUCAUCGAAUCUUUGAACGCACAUUGCGCCCCUUGGUAUUCCAUGGGGCAUGCCUGUUCGAGCGUCAUUUGUACCCUCAAGCUCUGCUUGGUGUUGGGUGUUUGUCCCCGUCUCCGCGCGUGGACUCGCCCCAAAGUGAUUGGCAGCCGGCGUACUGGUCCCGGAGCGCAGCACAUGUCGCGCAAACGAAUGCCUUGGUACGGCGGCGUCCAUAAGCCCCUCUCUCACGCUCUUGACCUCGGAUCAGGUAGGGAUACCCGCUGAACUUAAGC